UUAAGUUAGAAAGGGCGCACGGUGGAUGCCUUGACACUAGGAGUCGAUGAAGGACGGGACUAACGCCGAUAUGCUUCGGGGAGCUGUAAGUAAGCUUUGAUCCGAAGAUUUCCGAAUGGGGAAACCCACCAUACGUAAUGGUAUGGUAUCCUUAUCUGAAUACAUAGGGUAAGGAAGACAGACCCAGGGAACUGAAACAUCUAAGUACCUGGAGGAAGAGAAAGCAAAUGCGAUUUCCUGAGUAGCGGCGAGCGAAACGGAACAUAGCCCAAACCAAGAGGCUUGCCUCUUGGGGUUGUAGGACAUUCUAUACGGAGUUACAAAGGAACGAGGUAGACGAAGCGACCUGGAAAGGUCCGUCGUAGAGGGUAACAACCCCGUAGUCGAAACUUCGUUCUCUCUUGAAUGUAUCCUGAGUACGGCGGAACACGUGAAAUUCCGUCGGAAUCUGGGAGGACCAUCUCCCAAGGCUAAAUACUCCCUAGUGAUCGAUAGUGAACCAGUACCGUGAGGGAAAGGUGAAAAGCACCCCGGAAGGGGAGUGAAAGAGAUCCUGAAACCGUGUGCCUACAAAUAGUCAGAGCCCGUUAACGGGUGAUGGCGUGCCUUUUGUAGAAUGAACCGGCGAGUUACGAUCCCGUGCGAGGUUAAGCUGAAGAGGCGGAGCCGCAGCGAAAGCGAGUCUGAAUAGGGCGUUUAGUACGUGGUCGUAGACCCGAAACCAGGUGAUCUACCCAUGUCCAGGGUGAAGUUCAGGUAACACUGAAUGGAGGCCCGAACCCACGCACGUUGAAAAGUGCGGGGAUGAGGUGUGGGUAGCGGAGAAAUUCCAAUCGAACCUGGAGAUAGCUGGUUCUCCCCGAAAUAGCUUUAGGGCUAGCCUUAAGUGUAAGAGUCUUGGAGGUAGAGCACUGAUUGGACUAGGGGUCCUCAUCGGAUUACCGAAUUCAGUCAAACUCCGAAUGCCAAUGACUUAUCCUUAGGAGUCAGACUGCGAGUGAUAAGAUCCGUAGUCAAAAGGGAAACAGCCCAGACCGCCAGCUAAGGUCCCAAAGUGUGUAUUAAGUGGAAAAGGAUGUGGAGUUGCUUAGACAACUAGGAUGUUGGCUUAGAAGCAGCCACCAUUUAAAGAGUGCGUAAUAGCUCACUAGUCGAGUGACUCUGCGCCGAAAAUGUACCGGGGCUAAAUACACCACCGAAGCUGCGGAUUGAUACCAAUGGUAUCAGUGGUAGGGGAGCGUUCUAAGGACAGUGAAGUCAGACCGGAAGGACUGGUGGAGUGCUUAGAAGUGAGAAUGCCGGUAUGAGUAGCGAAAGACGGGUGAGAAUCCCGUCCACCGAAUGCCUAAGGUUUCCUGAGGAAGGCUCGUCCGCUCAGGGUUAGUCAGGACCUAAGCCGAGGCCGACAGGCGUAGGCGAUGGACAACAGGUUGAUAUUCCUGUACCACCUCUUUAUCGUUUGAGCAAUGGAGGGACGCAGAAGGAUAGAAGAAGCGUGCGAUUGGUUGUGCACGUCCAAGCAGUUAGGCUGAUAAGUAGGCAAAUCCGCUUAUCGUGAAGGCUGAGCUGUGAUGGGGAAGCUCCUUAUGGAGCGAAGUCUUUGAUUCCCCGCUGCCAAGAAAAGCUUCUAGCGAGAUAAAAGGUGCCUGUACCGCAAACCGACACAGGUAGGCGAGGAGAGAAUCCUAAGGUGUGCGAGAGAACUCUGGUUAAGGAACUCGGCAAAAUGACCCCGUAACUUCGGGAGAAGGGGUGCUUUCUUAACGGAAAGCCGCAGUGAAUAGGCCCAAGCGACUGUUUAGCAAAAACACAGCUCUCUGCGAAGCCGUAAGGCGAAGUAUAGGGGGUGACACCUGCCCGGUGCUGGAAGGUUAAGGAGAGGGGUUAGCGUAAGCGAAGCUCUGAACUGAAGCCCCAGUAAACGGCGGCCGUAACUAUAACGGUCCUAAGGUAGCGAAAUUCCUUGUCGGGUAAGUUCCGACCCGCACGAAAGGUGUAACGAUUUGGGCACUGUCUCAACCAGAGACUCGGUGAAAUUAUAGUACCUGUGAAGAUGCAGGUUACCCGCGACAGGACGGAAAGACCCCGUGGAGCUUUACUGUAGCCUGAUAUUGAAUUUUGGUACAGUUUGUACAGGAUAGGCGGGAGCCAUUGAAACCGGAGCGCUAGCUUCGGUGGAGGCGCUGGUGGGAUACCGCCCUGACUGUAUUGAAAUUCUAACCUACGGGUCUUAUCGACCCGGGAGACAGUGUCAGGUGGGCAGUUUGACUGGGGCGGUCGCCUCCUAAAGUGUAACGGAGGCGCCCAAAGGUUCCCUCAGAAUGGUUGGAAAUCAUUCGUAGAGUGCAAAGGCAUAAGGGAGCUUGACUGCGAGACCUACAAGUCGAGCAGGGACGAAAGUCGGGCUUAGUGAUCCGGUGGUUCCGCAUGGAAGGGCCAUCGCUCAACGGAUAAAAGCUACCCCGGGGAUAACAGGCUUAUCUCCCCCAAGAGUCCACAUCGACGGGGAGGUUUGGCACCUCGAUGUCGGCUCAUCGCAUCCUGGGGCUGUAGUCGGUCCCAAGGGUUGGGCUGUUCGCCCAUUAAAGCGGUACGCGAGCUGGGUUCAGAACGUCGUGAGACAGUUCGGUCCCUAUCCGUCGUGGGCGUAGGAAAUUUGAGAGGAGCUGUCCUUAGUACGAGAGGACCGGGAUGGACGCACCGCUGGUGUACCAGUUGUUCUGCCAAGGGCAUAGCUGGGUAGCUAUGUGCGGAAGGGAUAAGUGCUGAAAGCAUCUAAGCAUGAAGCCCCCCUCAAGAUGAGAUUUCCCAUAGCGUAAGCUAGUAAGAUCCCUGAAAGAUGAUCAGGUUGAUAGGUUCGAGGUGGAAGCAUGGUGACAUGUGGAGCUGACGAAUACUAAUAGAUCGAGGACUUAACCA
rnacentral:rRNA from 1 species